rnacentral:rRNA from 1 species
AUGGAAGGCAGCAGUGGGGAAUAUUGGACAAUGGGGGAAACCCUGAUCCAGCGACGCCGCGUGAGUGAAGAAGUAUUUCGGUAUGUAAAGCUCUAUCAGCAGGAAAGAAAAUGACGGUACCUGACUAAGAAGCCCCGGCUAACUACGUGCCAGCAGCCGCGGUAAUACGUAGGGGGCAAGCGUUAUCCGGAUUUACUGGGUGUAAAGGGAGCGUAGACGGCUUUGCAAGUCUGAAGCGAAAGCCCGGGGCUCAACCCCGGAACUGCCUUGGAAACUGUAGAGCUAGAGUGCAGGAGAGGUAAGUGGAAUUCCUAGUGUAGCGGUGAAAUGCGUAGAUAUUAGGAGGAACACCAGUGGCGAAGGCGGCUUACUGGACUGUAACUGACGUUGAGGCUCGAAAGCGUGGGGAGCAAACAGGAUUAGAUACCCUGGUA